GACGAACGCUGGCGGCGUGCCUAAUACAUGCAAGUCGUGCGGACCUUUUAAAAGCUUGCUUUUAAAAGGUUAGCGGCGGACGGGUGAGUAACACGUGGGCAACCUGCCUGUAAGACUGGGAUAACGCCGGGAAACCGGGGCUAAUACCAGAUCGUUUUUUCCUCCGCAUGGAGGAAAAAGGAAAGGCGGCUUCGGCUGCCACUUACAGAUGGGCCCGCGGCGCAUUAGCUCGUUGGCGGGGUAACGGCCCACCAAGGCAACGAUGCGUAGCCGACCUGAGAGGGUGAUCGGCGACAUUGGGACUGAGACACGGCCCAAACUCCUACGGGAGGCAGCAGUAGGGAAUCUUCCGCAAAGGACGAAAGUCGGACGGAGCAACGCCGCGUGAGUGAAGAAGGCCUUCGGGUCGUAAAACUCUGUUGCCGGGGAAGAACAAGUGCCGUUCGAACAGGGCGGCGCCUUGACGGUACCCGGACAGAAAGCCACGGCUAACUACGUG
rnacentral:rRNA from 1 species